GUGGUAGCUCAGUGGUUAAGACAUCAGACUUUUGAUUGGAAGGUCAUGAGUUUAAAUCCCAGUACCACC